rnacentral:rRNA from 1 species
CAGCACCUCAAGUGGUCAGGAUGAUUAUUGGGCCUAAAGCAUCCGUAGCCGGCGCUGUAAGUUUUCGGUUAAAUCUGUACGCUCAACGUACAGGCUGCCGGGAAUACUGCAGCGCUAGGGAGUGGGAGAGGUAGACGGUACUCGGUAGGAAGGGGUAAAAUCCUUUGAUCUAUUGAUGACCACCUGUGGCGAAGGCGGUCUACCAGAACACGUCCGACGGUGAGGGAUGAAAGCUGGGGGAGCAAACCGGAUUAGAUAACCGAGUAGUCC